rnacentral:rRNA from 1 species
CCUACGGGAGGCAGCAGUGAGGAAUAUUGGUCAAUGGCCGCAGGGCUGAACCAGCCAAGUCGCGUGAGGGAUGACGGUCCUAUGGAUUGUAAACCUCUUUUGUCGGGGAGCAAACCGGCUCUGCGGAGUCUUUUUGAGAGUACCCUACGAACAAGCAUCGGCUAACUCCGUGCCAGCAGCCGCGGUAAUACGGAGGAUUCGAGCGUUAUCCGGAUUUAUUGGGUUUAAAGGGUGCGCAGGCGGCGUGUCAAGCAAGCGGUAAAAUAGCGGGGCUCAACCCGGGCGAGCCGUUUGAACUGGUGGGCUUGAGUGCAGGUGAGGUAGGCGGAAUUCGUGGUGUAGCGGUGAAAUGCAUAGAUAUCACGAAGAACUCCGAUUGCGAAGGCAGCUUACCAGGCUGCGACUGACGCUCAGGCACGAAAGUGUGGGUAGCGAACAGGAUUAGAUACCCCGGUAGUC